GUAGGUGGCAAGCGUUGUCCGGAAUUAUUGGGCGUAAAGCGCGCGCAGGCGGUUCUUUAAGUCUGAUGUGAAAGCCCACGGCUCAACCGUGGAGGGUCAUUGGAAACUGGAGAACUUGAGUACAGAAGAGGAAAGCGGAAUUCCACGUGUAGCGGUGAAAUGCGUAGAGGUGUGGAGGAACACCAGUGGCGAAGGCGGCUUUCCGGUCUGUAACUGACGCUGAGGCGCGAAAGCGUGGGGAGCAAACAGGAUUAGAUACCCUGGUAGUCCACGCCGUAAACGAUGAGUGCUAAGUGUUAGGGGGUUUCCCGCCCCCUUAGUGCUGCAGCUAACGCAUUAAGCACUCCGCCUGGGGAGUACGGCCGCAAGGCUG
rnacentral:rRNA from 1 species